GAGAGCCUCGUUGCGUAAAAUAAAGAUGCAUUUGAUGAGCAUCUUGAAGUCUAUUUUUGAGCACUCUGAAUUAUUGAAGCUGCGUGUGUGAAGGAUUCUCUUGCCCUUGCCAUGUGUUGUUAAUUUCUCGCGUUCUUUCUCUAAUUCCUCUUCCAUCUCACUUGCUUUACUUUUUUUGUUAAUUUAAUUUGUUUCUCUUCCUAAACAGGAGAAAGAUUGAAGGGUAGCUUUGAAAGUCACCGAAAGCUGGUUUUAAGAAAGCAGUAAGUAAAAGCCGAAUAUAUGCAUCAAGCCAU
rnacentral:lncRNA from 1 species